rnacentral:tRNA from 1 species
CCUCUCAUGGCGUAGUGGUUAACGCGCCCCAACUAGACGAUUGGGGAGUCGUGAGUUCGAUUCUCACUGAGAAGA